UACGUAGGGUGCGAGCGUUGUCCGGAGUUAUUGGGCGUAAAGGGCUCGUAGGCGGUUUGUCGCGUCGGGAGUGAAAACCAGGUGCUUAACACCUGGCUUGCUUUCGAUACGGGCAGACUAGAGGUAUUCAGGGGAGAACGGAAUUCCUGGUGUAGCGGUGAAAUGCGCAGAUAUCAGGAGGAACACCGGUGGCGAAGGCGGUUCUCUGGGAAUGACCUGACGCUGAGGAGCGAAAGUGUGGGGAGCGAACAGG
rnacentral:rRNA from 1 species